GAUGAACGCUGGCGGCGUGCCUAAUACGUGCAAGUCGAGCGAACAGAUGAGGAGCUUGCUCCUCUGACGUUAGCGGCGGACGGGUGAGUAACACGUGGAUAACCUACCUAUAAGACUGGGAUAACUUCGGGAAACCGGAGCUAAUACCGGAUAAUAUAUUGAACCGCAUGGUUCAAUAGUGAAAGACGGUUUUGCUGUCACUUAUAGAUGGAUCCGCGCCGCAUUAGCUAGUUGGUAAGGUAACGGCUUACCAAGGCAACGGUGCGUAGCCGACCUGAGAGGGUGAUCGGCCAAACUGGAACUGAGACACGGUCCAGACUCCUACGGGAGGCAGCAGUAGGGAAUCUUCCGCAAUGGGCGAAAGCUUGACGGAGCAAAGCCGCGUGAGUGAUGAAGGUCUUCGGAUCGUAAAACUCUGUUAUUAGGGAAGACCAAAUGUGUAAGUAACUAUGCACGUCUUGACGGUACCUAAUCAGAAAGCCACGGCUAACUACGUG
rnacentral:rRNA from 1 species